ensembl:snRNA U6 U6 spliceosomal RNA
GUGCUCGCUUCGGCAGCACAUAUACUAAAAUUGGAACGAUACAGAGAAGGUUAGCAUGGCCUGUGCGCAAGGAUGACAUGCAAAUUCAUGAGGCGUUCCACAUUUAA